rnacentral:ncRNA from 1 species
GUUCAUGCAAUGAUCGAGGCGAGUACCCGGACAGAGGGCCCUUAGCGAGCCGGCGACGGUGGAAGGCCGGUGGGACGGAGUCCGGGGAAUGGGCUCGGGAGCAGCCUGCGGAACCGGAAGGUGUACGUACGGCCGGGAACUCCACCCGUUAUCAACGGAGGCGGUAUCGGACGGCAGUCCUGUACCGGCUGAGUGAAACCCGUUGUGGGUUUAACAUGGGUGGCACCGCGGAGGUUCCUUCGUCCCAGGG